GAGAGUUAAACAGUACGUGAAAUUGUUGAAAGGGAAACGAUUGAAGUCAGUCAUACCAACGGGAAAUCAACCUUUUGAGCUCGGUCUCGUGGGUUUUGAAGAGUUUCAAAGCCUUCGGAUUCGCGGGAUUGGGAUCUCUUGGCGUACUUUUUCGUACGGUUAGUCAACAUCGGUUUUGAAUGUCAUAAAAUGACUGGAGGAAUGUAGCUUCGAUCUCGUAUUGAAGUGUUAUAGCCUUUGGUAGAUGUGAUGUUUGAGACCGAGGAUUGCAACGGAUACCCUUCAGGGCUAUUCGUCUGAUCUCUGAUACGUUGCCUUGAUGUUGAAAGCUUGCUUAUGAUGUUAGGGUAUUACGGUCAAAAGGUUAGAACGAAUUACAUUCGUUAAGGAUGUUGACGUAAUGACUUUAAACGA
rnacentral:rRNA from 1 species